rnacentral:rRNA from 1 species
AGAGUUUGAUCCUGGCUCAGAUUGAACGCUGGCGGCAUGCUUUACACAUGCAAGUCGAACGGCAGCAUGGAGAGCUUGCUCUCUGAUGGCGAGUGGCGAACGGGUGAGUAAUACAUCGGAACGUGUCCUGUUGUGGGGGAUAACUACUCGAAAGAGUAGCUAAUACCGCAUAAGACCUAAGGGUGAAAGCGGGGGACCUUCGGGCCUCGCGCAGUUGGAGCGGCCGAUGACUGAUUAGCUAGUUGGUGGGGUAAAGGCCUACCAAGGCGACGAUCAGUAGCUGGUCUGAGAGGACGACCAGCCACAUUGGGACUGAGACACGGCCCAAACUCCUACGGGACGCAGCAG